rnacentral:rRNA from 1 species
UCCUUAGAUGUUCUGGGCCGCACGCGCGCUACACUGAAGGAAUCAGCGUGGCUUUCUCCCUGACCCGAAAGGGUUGGGAAACCCGUUGAAUCUCCUUCGUGAUAGGGAUUGGGGCUUGAAAUUGUUCCCCAUGAACGAGGAAUUCCCAGUAAGCGCGAGUCAUAAGCUCGCGUUGAUUACGUCCCUGCCCUUUGUACACACCGCCCGUCGCUACUACCGAUUGAACGGUUUAGUGAGGGCCUCGGAUUGGUCUCGGCCCGCUCUUUACCGGGCGGCGCCGUUGGUCGAGAAGACGCUCGAACUUGAUCGUUUAGAGGAAGUAAAAGUCGUAACA